UACAGAGGGGGCAAGCGUUAUUCGGAAUUACUGGGCGUAAAGCGCACGUAGGCGGAUAUUUAAGUCAGGGGUGAAAUCCCAGAGCUCAACUCUGGAACUGCCUUUGAUACUGGGUAUCUGGAGUAUGGAAGAGGUGAGUGGAAUUCCGAGUGUAGAGGUGAAAUUCGUAGAUAUUCGGAGGAACACCAGUGGCGAAGGCGGCUCACUGGUCCAUUACUGACGCUGAGGUGCGAAAGCGUGGGGAGCAAACAGG
rnacentral:rRNA from 1 species